rnacentral:tRNA from 1 species
GGGCGGGUAGCUCAACUGGCUAGAGCAGUGGUCUCCAAAACCGCAGGUUAUAGGUUCGACUCCUAUCCCGCUCG